AACGAACGCUGGCGGCGUGGAUAAGACAUGCAAGUCGAACGAUUACUAGUGGGUAGCAAUAUUCGCUAGUAAGAGUGGCGCAAGGGUGCGUAACACGUGGGUAAUUUGCCGUGAAGUCUGGGAUAACUUGCUGAAAGGCGAGCUAAUACCGGAUGUGAUUACUGGAAGGCAUCUUCUGGUACUUAAAGUCGGGGACCGUAAGGCCUGACGCUUCUCGAUAAGCCCGCGGCCUAUCAGCUAGUUGGUGAGGUAACGGCUCACCAAGGCUAAGACGGGUAGCUGGUCUGAGAGGACGACCAGCCACACUGGAACUGAGACACGGUCCAGACACCUACGGGUGGCAGCAGUCGAGAAUUUUUCUCAAUGGGCGAAAGCCUGAAGGAGCGACGCCGCGUGGGGGAUGAACGGCUUCGGCCCGUAAACCCCUGUCAUUUGCGAUCAAACCUUACGACCUAACACGUCGUGAGCUGUUAGUAGCGGAAGAGGAAGGGACGGCUAACUCUGUGCC
rnacentral:rRNA from 1 species